UUCAUUUUUUUGAAAUAAAAUUUCACCUAAAGUAAAAAUGCUUUUUUUUAAAAAAAAGACGACAAGACCCUAAAGAACUAACACUUAAGUUUAGCUGGGGCGGCUUUACAAAAAAAUCUUUCUUAAAUUAUAUCAUUCCUAACUUUAUAAAAGUUACCUUAGGGAUAACAGCAUAAUUUAGUUCAAAAGCUCUUAUAAAAAACUAAGAUUAUGACCUCGAUGUUGAAUUAAACUUCUUUCUUGAAGAAAAGCUCAGUCUAAGAAAGUCUGUUCGACUUUUAAAUAUUUACAUGAUUUGAGUUCAGACCGGUGAGAACCAGGUCGGUUUCCAUCUUUUUUAAAAAUAUGCUAGUACGAAAGGACCUCAUAAUUUAUUUCUAAU
rnacentral:rRNA from 1 species